rnacentral:lncRNA from 1 species
GUCGCACAGAGUCGGACACGACUGAAGCAGCUUAGCAGCAGCAGCAGCACUAAGCAUAAGAUCUGCAAAGCAUUCAUCCAUAUUGUAGCCCAUGUCAGAGUUUCUCUCCUUUUGAGGGCUGCAUAACAUUCCACUGGGCCACAUUUUGUUUUUCCAUUCAUCUGUCAGAGAGUGGGUCAUUUUGGGCUAUUGUGAAUAAUGCUGCUGUAUGUGAAUGUGGGUGUGCAAAUCUCUCUUCUAGUCCCUGCUUUCAAUUCUCUAGGUUCCAUACCCAGAAAUAAGAUUACUGGGUCAUAUGGUAAUUCUAUGUUUAAUUUUUUGAGGAACUAGAGAGGCUUUUACAUGAUUUCUCAGUUCAUCAAUCUCAACAGCAUCCAACAAUAUUUGACAAGGUAGCUGCACACACACGGGAGACUCCAGGCCAUGCCUGGUUGGUAAAUGAAUUCACGAGCUCCCUGGGCAUAGCGACUCCAAGUCCUUGACCUUUUGGGGGCCCUGGGUCCUGCUACUGCUGCCCUGCUUUCUGAAAACUUCUGCCUCCAUGGCCCCCAUGACAUCACCCCUUCUGCAUCUGCCUCCUCCAUCAUCUCCCUCCUCCAUCUCACUUCUCUUUUUCAGGAUCCCUUGUGAAUGCUUUCUCUGAAAGCCAACCAUGAAUGCUGAGCUCUAACUCUGGAAUCCUUUCCAGCUGUCAGACUUGAACCUAAGACCAGGUUUUCCCUGGCGCAGGAGGCUGUGCUUCCAGGAUGGAUUCAGGCUGUGGAAUCCACAGUGACGUUACAGGAGCUGGCCACAGGCAGGAAUGUUCUGGACAUUCAUGCUGGAGACUGCUGCUCCCCCCCCGACUCCGGUGGCUACAGCAGGGCGCAGGAGGUGGGGAGGUGACCAAAACAGAUGAAAAGAAACUGGAAACAAGAGUAGGCACCACCCUCCUGAUGACAGACAAGGUAAAAAUGCCCGGCUACCGCUACUGGACCACGAAGCGGCAUGGCGAGGUGUGCCUGCGGCACGAGCCCUCCUGCAUCAGAGAGGCGUCCAUCACCGAGCACGACGUGGUCCUGGGCAAGGCCAUCAAGCAGGCCAACUAUAUUGGCUCAGCUCCAAGCACUGACCGCCCCUGGCUCAGCUACGUCGAGUACCACGAGGAGCGCCACCUGGCUUUCCUCAGGACCCAGCGUGCCCCGCGCAGCGCCCGCUUCCCGCUCCCGCGCACCACUCCCUGGGCGCCGCGCCUUCCCUCUUGCGCCUGCGCGCCAUUUCUUCCCUCGGCGGCGUUGCGGGUACCCUCGCUCCGUGUCUCUGGUUGGUUUGUCUGA